rnacentral:rRNA from 1 species
GCCAUGCUAGUUGCACGAGUUCAGACUCGUAGCAGAUAGCUCAGUAACACGUGGCCAAACUACCCUGUCGAUCUGGACAACCUCGGGAAACUGAGGCUAAUCCGGAAUACGGCUCACCGCCUGGAGUGGUGUGAGCCCGAAACGCUCCGGCGCGACAGGAUGUGGCUGCGGCCGAUUAGGUAGACGGUGGGGUAACGGCCCACCGUGCCCAUAAUCGGUACGGGUUGUGAGAGCAAGAGCCCGGAGACGGUAUCUGAGACAAGAUACCGGGCCCUACGGGGCGCAGCAGGCGCGAAACCUUUACACUGCACGAAAGUGCGAUAAGGGGACUCCGAGUGCGAGGGCAUAUAGUCCUCGCUUUUUGCGACCGUAAGGUGGUCGCGGAAUAAGUGCUGGGCAAGACCGGUGCCAGCCGCCGCGGUAAUACCGGCAGCACGAGUGAUGACCGCUAUUAUUGGGCCUAAAGCGUCCGUAGCUGGCCGUGCAAGUCCAUCGGGAAAUCCGCGCGCUUAACGCGCGGGCGUCCGGUGGAAACUGCAUGGCUUGGGACCGGAAGAUCCAAAGGGUACGUCCGGGGUAGGAGUGAAAUCCCGUAAUCCUGGACGGACCACCGGUGGCGAAAGCGCUCUGGGAAGACGGAUCCGACGGUGAGGGACGAAAGCUCGGGUCACGAACCGGAUUAGAUACCCGGGUAGUCCGAGCUGUAAACGAUGCUCGCUAAGUGUGGUACAGGCUACGAGCCUGUGCUGAGCUGUA